ensembl:misc_RNA Y_RNA Y RNA
AGCUGGUCUGAAGAUAGUGAGUUACCACAACUGAUUGUUCACAGUUACAGACUGACUCUUUGUUCUACUUGUUCCCUUCUUCUCACUAUCGCACCUGACUAGUCAUUU